rnacentral:rRNA from 1 species
GUUGGGUUAAGUCCCGCAACGAGCGCAACCCUUGAUUUUAGUUGCCAGCAGGUAAGGCUGGGCACUCUAGAAUGACUGCCGGUGACAAACCGGAGGAAGGCGGGGAUGACGUCAAAUCAUCAUGCCCCUUAUGACUUGGGCUACACACGUACUACAAUGGCUGGUACAACGGGAAGCGAAGCCGCGAGGUGGAGCCAAUCCUAUAAAAGCCAGUCUCAGUUCGGAUUGCAGGCUGCAACUCGCCUGCAUGAAGUCGGAAUUGCUAGUAAUCGCGGAUCAGCAUGCCGCGGUGAAUACGUUCCCGGGUCUUGUACACACCGCCCGUCACACCACGAGAGUUUACAACACCCGAAGUCGGUGGGGUAACCCGCAAGGGAGCCAGCCGCCGAAGGUGGGGUAGAUGAUUGGGGUGAAGUCGUAACAAGGUAGCCGUAUCGGAAGGUGCGGCUGGAUCACCUCCUUUCUGCGGCCGCUUA